ensembl:lncRNA
CUUGUGUUCCUAAUCCCUAUAAAAUGUCAAACUGAAGAUGACAAAGAGCAGAUCUCUGAAAGAAUGUAACAAGAUAUGCUCCUGCGUCUUGACUUGCAAACACUUGCAGAACAUCAUUUUUUCUGACAGCAGAAAGGUAGUGUUUUCAUGAUAAACACCUAAAUACAUAAAAUGAAUUUUGGUGACAUUUGCUGACCAGAUCCCAACUUUAUCUCUUCUACUCACAUGCACAAUAUUCUUUUACUGACUCUCCAUUCCAUGGCAAUAUGCAGUAUGGAUGCGAUGAAGCAUGCUAUUUGGGGAACGUCUUACAGACUGACUCCCUCAUGAGUAGCUGCCAUACAGCUUGUGGUUCAUUGCUUAGUUAUGUAAUAAAGUACACACUGUACUUGUACAAGGAAAAAAAAAGAAAAGAGAUAAAUCAAAUACAACUAGCUUAUAACCUUUCACAUGGUGCUAUUAUUGUUUAAGGCAAAACAGCUUGAUUGCUGUUGCUCUCACAAUUAAUCUGUCUCUGAAAUAUCAAGCUACACAAACAAAAACGAAGCACUGUCACAAGAUUGAUGCGGGUUAUAGAGUUCUUAUGAUCUAAUGGAUGCUAAUACGUUCUGAAGGCAAGAUAGAGCACUUCACUUAGCUUGUACUUUACUUAGUCCUACCUUUCUGGUUUUCUCAAUUUGAAAAGUUCCUCUCUGUCAUGGUUUCUUUUUUCCAAAUACUUUUUAGCUUGUUUGUUUUGUCCUUUUUGCACAUUUUGUGUUUUGCAUGGGCAAUAUAAUUUCAACAACAUGAUGUAUUUGCAUGAAAUGGUUGAUUUGAUAAAUGCUGCUCUAAAUGCUUUUUCCACUUUCUCUUGUGAGAACUCUUAAUUUUGCCACAAAAGGAGGACAUUAGAAAACCAGAAUUUUUUUCUCUGAGUUUGAUCCUAGUUUUCUGCUUAGAAACCUAUUUCAAGAAAGGCAAACUGUUUCCACAGAAAAUCACCUUAUCAAAACCAUAGCUACUCACCUGGAAAGAUGCCAAUUUCUACAUUUUUCUGGAGAUUCUUAUUUACUCACCAAAGUCUCCUUUUGCAUGUAUCCAUUAAAACAGGAGCUGAUUAUUGAAUAUUUGAGUUUCCAGAAAUGACCUUUCUCUGAUCACUCUGAAGAAUGUGGGUUAUCAUCUUCCUUCAUUCCUUAGUGAAUAACAAAAAUCUGCAAGAAUUUAAAAGAAUAGCAUCAUUCUCAUAUUUGACUCUCACAAAGAAUUUGGUUUGUACUGCAGUGUUUAUACAUUUUGGAAUGUAAAAUGAAUAAAAG